AAAAUUUCUUGCUUGAGAGCAAGAGAGAGGCCAUGAGUGUGGUGAAAGGUUUCACAUUCACUGUGCAGGAUCCUGGAUUUCUCAGAGGACUUUGAAGCAUAUCCAGUGAAUGCUGAAGAGGAGGCAACUGAGGUGGGGAAAUUCUGACAGUUACCGUGGUGUGCUCAAGAAUAAAUCCUGAGUGGGAGUCUUGGAUAAAGAAACAUAAAAUGCUUUGUUCUCUUCAUACCAAGAAGGCUUAAGACUUUUGUUGAACACUGAUCAUUCCCAGGAGACGGAGGACUUGUGUAAGGCUGAUGCUUGCUCUGGAGAGUUGAGCAGAAGGAGGCAGUGAGUGCACAUCUGGAGCUGCUGCACAUCCCCGCUGUGUGAUGGGGAACAGGAGCUACGCCAG